CCCGGGCCUUGUACACACCGCCCGUCACACCACGAAAGCUGCUUGAACCAGAAGUCGGUGACCCAACCCGCAAGGGAGGGAGCCGCCCAAGGUUUUGGUAGUGAUUGGGGUG
rnacentral:rRNA from 1 species